rnacentral:pre_miRNA from 1 species
AGUGGGAUAGCUGGGUCAAAUGGUGGUUCCAUUCCAAGUUUUCUGAGGAAUCUCCAUACUGCUUUCCAGAGUGGUUGUACGCAUUUGCAAUCCGACCAGCAAU